GCUCCCGUAGUUAAAUGGAUAUAAUAGGGCCCUCCUAAGGCCUAGUUGGCAGUUCGAUUCUGCCCGGGAGUACCA
rnacentral:tRNA from 1 species